rnacentral:pre_miRNA from 1 species
CCAUUAACUAUUAAAAGUUUUGUUUUGGUCCCUUAACUUAUUUUUUGGUUUCGUUUUGGUCCCUUAACUCUUCCUUCAUCAACCACUUUGGUCCUUUAUGCUAGGAUGAAUGUAUUAGAGUUAAGGGACCAAAACGAAACCAAAAAAUAAGUUAAAGGACCAAAACGAAACCAAAAAAUAAGUUAAGGGACCAAAACGAAACCAAAAAAUAAGUUAAGGGACCAAAACGAAACUUUUAAUAGUUAAGGGA